rnacentral:lncRNA from 1 species
CUGAGCUAAAUCCUUGGCCCUCAAUUUGUGAUCUGUAGCUUAUAGAAAAGCCAUCAGGCAAAGAAGAAAGGAAAAUAUAAACCUAUAGAGAAUUAUACCGAAUAGCUCCAUUUAAUUAAUUAUACUAACCAAUAAUAGAAUUCAGGGGGGUAGAAUCCUUUAAUUGGUAUAUAACAUGACUAUCUCAAGGGAGAAUUUAUCUCAUUCCUCUGAGGAUAAGAGCAUAUUAUGGACAAUGUUGAGAAUCUCCAGAGUUUUCCAAUCAGAGAAAUGUACAGUCCCUGAAUCAUGUGUUCCAAUAAUAUUAUCUUACAAAAUUAAUCUAAGCAUGGCUAUAUUCUUAUUUGACACCUCUUCCCAUGAUUAUAGCAGUGCUUAGAAUAAUUUUGAAUAAAUAAUUAUAAAACAGUCUGUUUUGUGUUGCUAUAAGAAAUACCUGGGGCUUGGUACUUCAUAAAGAAAAGAGAUUUUAUUUAGCUAACUGUUCUAGAGGUUUAGUUACAUGGGGCCAGCAUCUGCUUGGCUCUUUUGAUAAUAUGAUGGUGACUGACAUCAUAGUGAUGAAUGUCAGCCAGGCUUACUUAUAACAACCUACUCUUGCAGGACUUCUACAAGAAUAAGAAUGCACCCCCAAGAAAAAAAGGAUUAAUCCUUAAAAGCUUAAUCACCUGCCACUGGACCUUACCUCUAAAUUUUCUACAAUUUCUCAACACUACCACACUGGUUAUUAUGUGGAUUCAGCUUGACAUGACUGCAGCCAGCUUGAGUUGGUAUUAUGAUUGCCUCUGAUUAACACUGAUCUAGAAUGUCCCUUGAGGCUUCAUGUGAUCGGGACUGGGGCUUUUAAAGAUGACUGGAACAUGAGGGCACCACUCAUCAGUGAAUUAAUCCAGAAAUUAGUCCAGAGGGCCUCACAGCUAAGAGUUUGCCUUGAGUCUCCAGAGGAUACUUUGAACUUGGACUUUUUAGCAAUGCUGAAACUAUUAAGAUUUUGUCAACUCUUAAAGAUAGGCUAAAUGCAUUUAGCAUAAAGAAAUGAACGUGAGUCUUUGGGGACCAGAGGUGGAAUGUUAUUGUUGAGAUCUAGAAUGUCCCUCAAAGGCCUCAUAUGUUAAGAGGUGGAGCUUUUAAAAGAUGAUUGGAUCAUGGGGUGUGUACUCAUCCAUGAGUUACCAUGGAUGGGUCCAGAGCUAGUUGGUUCUUG